rnacentral:rRNA from 1 species
UUAACACAUGCAAGUCGAGGGGCAGCAUGGUCUUAGCUUGCUAAGGCCGAUGGCGACCGGCGCACGGGUGAGUAACACGUAUCCAACCUGCCGUCUACUCUUGGACAGCCUUCUGAAAGGAAGAUUAAUACAAGAUGGCAUCAUGAGUCCGCAUGUUCACAUGAUUAAAGGUAUUCCGGUAGACGAUGGGGAUGCGUUCCAUUAGAUAGUAGGCGGGGUAACGGCCCACCUAGUCUUCGAUGGAUAGGGGUUCUGAGAGGAAGGUCCCCCACAUUGGAACUGAGACACGGUCCAAACUCCUACGGGAGGCAGCAGUGAGGAAUAUUGGUCAAUGGGCGAGAGCCUGAACCAGCCAAGUAGCGUGAAGGAUGACUGCCCUAUGGGUUGUAAACUUCUUUUAUAAAGGAAUAAAGUCGGGUAUGGAUACCCGUUUGCAUGUACUUUAUGAAUAAGGAUCGGCUAACUCCGUGCCAGCAGCCGCGGUAAUACGGAGGAUCCGAGCGUUAUCCGGAUUUAUUGGGUUUAAAGGGAGCGUAGAUGGAUGUUUAAGUCAGUUGUGAAAGUUUGCGGCUCAACCGUAAAAUUGCAGUUGAUACUGGAUAUCUUGAGUGCAGUUGAGGCAGGCGGAAUUCGUGGUGUAGCGGUGAAAUGCUUAGAUAUCACGAAGAACUCCGAUUGCGAAGGCAGCCUGCUAAGCUGCAACUGACAUUGAGGCUCGAAAGUGUGGGUAUCAAACAGGAUUAGAUACCCUGGUAGUCCACACGGUAAACGAUGAAUACUCGCUGUUUGCGAUAUACUGCAAGCGGCCAAGCGAAAGCGUUAAGUAUUCCACCUGGGGAGUACGCCGGCAACGGUGAAACUCAAAGGAAUUGACGGGGGCCCGCACAAGCGGAGGAACAUGUGGUUUAAUUCGAUGAUACGCGAGGAACCUUACCCGGGCUUAAAUUGCAGAUGAAUUACGGUGAAAGCCGUAAGCCGCAAGGCAUCUGUGAAGGUGCUGCAUGGUUGUCGUCAGCUCGUGCCGUGAGGUGUCGGCUUAAGUGCCAUAACGAGCGCAACCCUUGUUGUCAGUUACUAACAGGUUCCGCUGAGGACUCUGACAAGACUGCCAUCGUAAGAUGUGAGGAAGGUGGGGAUGACGUCAAAUCAGCACGGCCCUUACGUCCGGGGCUACACACGUGUUACAAUGGGGGGUACAGAGGGCCGCUACCACGCGAGUGGAUGCCAAUCCCCAAAACCUCUCUCAGUUCGGACUGGAGUCUGCAACCCGACUCCACGAAGCUGGAUUCGCUAGUAAUCGCGCAUCAGCCACGGCGCGGUGAAUACGUUCCCGGGCCUUGUACACACCGCCCGUCAAGCCGUGGGAGCCGGGGGUACCUGAAGUGCGUAACCGCGAGGAGCGCCCUAGGGUAAAACUGGUGACUGGGGAUAAG